CCUACGGGAGGCAGCAGUGGGGAAUAUUGCACAAUGGGGGAAACCCUGAUGCAGCGACGCCGCGUGGGUGAAGAAGUAUUUCGGUAUGUAAAGCCCUAUCAGCAGGGAAGAAAAUGACGGUAACUUAUCAAGAAGCCCCGGCUAACUACGUGCCAGCAGCCGCGGUAAUACGUAGGGGGCAGGCGUUACCCGGAUUUACUGGGUGUAAAGGGAGCGUUGACGGGAGCGCAAGUCUGGAGUGAAAUGCCGGGGCUUAACCCCGGAACUGCUUUGGAAACUGUGCAGCUAGAGUGCCGGAGAGGUAGGUGGAAUUCGUGGUGUAGCGGUGAAAUGCGUAGAUAUCAGGAGGAACACCGGUGGCGAAGGCGGCCUGCUGGACCGUAACUGACGUUGAGGCUCGAAAGCGUGGGGAGCAAACAGGAUUAGAUACCCUAGUAGUC
rnacentral:rRNA from 1 species